ACACUCCUCGGGAGGCAGCAGUGGGGAAUAUUGCACAAUGGGCGCAAGCCUGAUGCAGCCAUGCCGCGUGUGUGAAGAAGGCCUUCGGGUUGUAAAGCACUUUCAGCGGGGAGGAAGGCGAUACGGUUAAUAACCGUGUUGAUUGACGUUACCCGCAGAAGAAGCACCGGCUAACUCCGUGCCAGCAGCCGCGGUAAUACGGAGGGUGCAAGCGUUAAUCGGAAUUACUGGGCGUAAAGCGCACGCAGGCGGUCUGUCAAGUCGGAUGUGAAAUCCCCGGGCUCAACCUGGGAACUGCAUUCGAAACUGGCAGGCUUGAGUCUUGUAGAGGGGGGUAGAAUUCCAGGUGUAGCGGUGAAAUGCGUAGAGAUCUGGAGGAAUACCGGUGGCGAAGGCGGCCCCCUGGACAAAGACUGACGCUCAGGUGCGAAAGCGUGGGGAGCAAACAGGAUUAGAAACCCGAGUAGUCCCA
rnacentral:rRNA from 1 species